UUCCGGUUGAUCCUGCCGGACCCUACUGCUAUCGGGAUGAGACUAAAACAUGCUAGUUGUGCGCACCCUAGCUAUGUUGGGAGCGCAGCGAACGGCUCCGUAACACGUAGUCAAUCUAACCUUAGGACUGGAAUAACCCCGGGAAACUGGGGCUAAUACCUGAUAGGUGAAAUAAUCUGGAAUGACUUUUCGCUUAAAGAGUUCUGGGAACAUGCUCCUUUAACUGCCUAAGGAUGAGACUGCGUCCGAUCAGGUUGUUGGUGGGGUAACGGCCUACCAAGCCUAUAACCGGUACGGGCCCUGAGAGGGGGAGCCCGGAGAUGGGAACUGAGACAAGGUCCCAGACCCUAAGGGGUGCAGCAGUUGCGAAAACUCUACAAUGCACGAAAGUGUGAUAGGGUUAUCCCGAGUGCCGUCCGAUGAGGAUGGCUUUUCCCUGGUGUAAGGAGCCGGGGGAAUAAAGGGGGGGCAAGACUGGUGUCAGCCGCCGCGGUAAUACCAGCCCCCUGAGUGGUAGGGAUGAUUAAUUGGCCUAAAGCGUCCGUAGCCGGCUUAGCAAGUCUUUCGUUAAAUCCGGUGACUUAAUCGUCGGGCUGCGAGAGAUACUACUAGGCUUGAGGGCGGGAGAGGUUGACGGUAUUUCGGGGGUAGGGGUAAAAUCCUAUAAUCCCGGGAGGACCACCAGUGGCGAAGGCUGUCGGCUAGAACGCGCUCGACGGUGAGGGACGAAAGCUGGGGGAGCGAACCGGAUUAGAUACCCGGGUAGUCCCAGCCGUAAACGAUGCGGGCUAGGUGUUGGGGUGGCUACGAGCCACUUCAGUGCCGCAGGGAAGCCAUUAAGCCCGCCGCCUGGGGAGUACGGCCGCAAGGCUGAAACUUAAAGGAAUUGGCGGGGGAGCACCACAAGGCGUGAAGCUUGCGGUUCAUUGGAAUCACGCCGGAAAUC
rnacentral:rRNA from 1 species